rnacentral:rRNA from 1 species
AAUACGUUCCCGGGCCCUUGUACACACCGCCCGUCACGCCUAUGAAAGCCGAGGGCACCCAAAGCCGCCUCAUAAGCGUCUAAGGUGAAAUCGGUGAUUGGGGCG